CAUCACAGGUCUUAAAACUUC
rnacentral:miRNA from 1 species